CCGGGCUGGGCGGGGCCGUGCAGGCGGCCGUCUCGGCCCUCCCUGGCGGGGCCCCCGCGGCCUGGGCGCCCGAGCGAACGGGCAGAGCCGCGGUAGCGGCGAGCUGUCCUGCAGCUAGACCCGGGGAGACUGAACGCCGCGAGGGGAGGCGGUGGCUGACCGGCCCCGCCCGCCCGAGGUCGGACACCCACAGACGCCCAGUCAUGGAGCCUGAACCAGUGGAAGACUGCGUGCAGAGCACACUUGCUGCCUUGUAUCCACCCUUUGAAGCCACAGCCCCAACCCUGUUGGGCCAAGUGUUCCAGGUGGUGGAGAGGACGUACCAGGAGGAUGCGCUGAGGUACACGCUGGACUUCCUAGUACCUGCUAAACACCUGCUUGCCAAGGUCCAGCAGGAAGCCUGUGCCCAGUAUAGUGGAUUCCUCUUCUUCCACGAGGGCUGGCCGCUCUGCUUGCAUGAGCAGGUGGUAGUGCAGCUGGCAGCCCUUCCCUGGCAGCUGCUGCGCCCUGGAGACUUCUACCUGCAGGUAGUGCCCACCUCGGCCCAAGCGCCCCGCCUGGCACUGAAAUGCCUGGCCCCAGGAGGUGGGCGGGUACAAGAGCUGCCAGUGCCCAGUGAAGCCUGUGCCUACCUGUUCACACCCGAGUGGCUACAAGGCAUUAACAAGGACCGGCCGACAGGGCGCCUCAGCACUUGCCUCCUGUCCGCACCGUCUGGGAUCCAGCGGCUGCCCUGGGCUGAGCUCAUCUGCCCAAGAUUUGUGCACAAGGAGGGCCUCAUGGUUGGGCAUCGGCCCAGCACACUGCCUCCAGAGCUGCCCUCGGGACCUCCAGGGCUUCCUAGCUCCCCGCUCCCUGAGGAGGCGCUGGGAACCCGGAGUCCUGGGGAUGGACACAAUGCUCCCGCCGAAGGUCCAGAGGGUGAAUAUGUAGAGCUGUUGGAGGUGACACUGCCCGUGAGGGGAAGCCCCGUAGAUGCCGAGGCCUCAGGCCUCUCCAGGACCCGCACAGUACCCACUCGUAAGACUACUGGAGGGAAGGGCCGGCACCGGAGACACCGGGCAUGGAUGCACCAGAAAGGCCUGGGGUCUCGGGACCAGGACGGGGCACGCCCACCUGGUGAGGGGAGUAGCGCAGGAGCGUCCUCUCACUCACCCCCAGGAGCUGAGGCAGACCCAGACACAGAGGUGCCGGUGCCAGAGGCAUCUGAGCCCCCAGCGGAGGCUCUCAGGGAGGCCUCUCAGUCCUGCCUCCUGUCAGGGGAGGCUGGGGGAGGAGUGGCCCAGGGGGCUGAAGGAGCACCUGGUACCCCUCGAAGAACAGGCAAAGGAAACAGAAGAAAGAAGCGACCUGGCGGCAGAGGUGCUGUUAGCCGUGGAGGGGAGAGUACCCCGCUUGGCCCGAGGGACAAGGAAGAGGCUAGACAGCAGGAAGUCCUUGUCAGUCUGCCCUCGCCCCGAGAGCAGGAACCUGCAGAAUGCAGCCUGGUUAAGGAAAGAGAGGAUUCUGGGAAGCCAGAGUCUGAAUCAAAAGAGGAACUCAAGCCAGCAGAAGAAAAAGAGCCUGCCUCCCCAGAAGACUGUGGGCCUCCAGAAGAGGAGAUCAGAGAGAGUGGGCAAGAAGGGUUGCUCCCGGUGUGUAUGGCAGGACCCACAGGUCCAGAAUGGCUCCCAUCUGACCCCCCAGCCCAGCCCCUGGAGUCCAUGCAGGAUGGAAAAGAAGACAGCAUCCCAGAACAAAGUCCCCCAGUUUCCAUUUUGGAUGGCCCACUUGUAGCUUGGGACUUGAUGUCAUCUGGAUUCUUCGUUUUGACUGGAGGGGUAGAUCAGACUGGGAGAGCUUUGCUGACGAUUACGCCUCCGCCUCCGUGCCUUCCUGAGGAGCCCUCACCCUCCCACGAGACGCUGAAGACCUCUCUUCGUUAUCUCCACUCACUGCUCAGGCCUGAUCUGCAGUUAUUGGGACUGACCAUCCUGCUAGAUCUCCGCAAGGCACCCCCACUGCCUCCAGCACUUAUGCCUGCCUUGAGGCAGCUUCAGGACUCGGGCGACCCUCCGCUCAUUCAGCGGCUCGUGAUUCUCAUUCAUGAAGACCCUCCAGCUGAACUCUGUGGACUUCAGGGAGCCGAGUUGCUGUCAGAGAAGGAGCUGAAGAGAGUAGCCAAGCCAGAAGAACUACAAUGGGACUUAGGAGGUCACAGAGACCUCUCCCCCAACCACUGGGUAGAGAUUCACCAGGAAGUGGCAAGGCUGUGCACCUUGUGUCAAGGUGUGUUGACGUCUGUACGGCAGGCCAUUGAGGAGCUAGAGGGAACAGCAGAGCGAAACGAAGAGGAGGCAGUGGGAAUGCCUGAGCCCCUUCAAAAGGUGCUGGCAGAUCCUCGGCUGACGGCACUACAGAGGAACGGAGGAGCCAUCCUGGUGCGGCUGCGCUCCACUCAUAGCAGCAAGCUAGAGGGUCCAGGCCCAGCUGUGCUGUACCAGGAGGUCGAUGAAGCCAUUCACCAACUUGUGCGUCUGUCCAACCUACACGUGCAGAAGCAGGAACGACACCAACGCCGGCGCCAGCUCCAGCAGGUGUUACAGUGGCUCUCUGGCCCAGGGGAAGAGCAGCUGGCCAGCUUCUCCAUGCCUGGGAACUCACUGUCAGUCUUGCAAGAGACAGAACUGCGAUUCCGGACUUUCAGCACUGAGGUGCAGGAGCGCCUAGUCCAGGCCCGGGAAGCUUUGGCUCUGGAGGAGGAUGUCACCUCCCAGAAAGUUCUGGAUAUCUUUGAACAACGAUUGGAGCAGGCUGAGAGUGGCCUCCAUCGGGCCCUUCGGCUACAGCGCUUCUUCCAGCAGGCACAUGAAUGGGUAGACGAGGGCUCUGCUCGGCUGGCGGGAGCUGGGCCUGGUCGUGAGGCUGUGCUGGCAGCCCUGGCCCUACGGAGGGCCCCAGAGCCCAGUGCAGGGACCUUCCAAGAGAUGCGAGCCCUGGCCCUGGACCUGGGAAGCCCAGCAGCUCUUCGAGAGUGGGGCCGAUGCCGGGCACGCUGCCAAGAGCUGGAAAAGAGGAUUCAGCAGCAGCUGGGAGAGGAGGCCAGUCCACGAGGCCCCCGACGAAGACGGGCAGAUAGUGCCAGCAGCACAGGGGCACAGCAUGGAGCCCAUAGCCCUUCACCCAGCCUCAGCUCCCUGCUGCUUCCCAGCAGCCCCGGGCCACGGGCAGCCCCAUCACAUUGCUCUCUGACUCCGUGUGGGGAGGACUAUGAGGAAGAAGGCCUUGAGAUGGCUCCAGAGGCGGAUGGAAGACCCCCAAGGGCUGUGCUGAUCCGAGGCCUGGAAGUCACCAGUACCGAAGUGGUGGACAGAACAUGUUCACCCCGAGAACACGUGCUGUUAGGUCGGGCUGGAGGGCCAGACGGGCCCUGGGGAGUAGGUACCCCUCGCAUGGAACGCAAACGAAGCAUCAGUGCCCAGCAGCGUCUAGUGUCUGAACUGAUUGCCUGUGAGCAGGAAUACAUAACCACUCUGAAUGAGCCAGUGCCACCGCCUGGGCCCGAGCUGACGCCUGAGCUCCGAGGCACCUGGGCCGCAGCCCUGAGUGCCCGAGAGAGGCUUCGCAGCUUCCACGGGACACACUUUCUCCAAGAGCUUCAGGGCUGCGUCACCCAUCCACUGCGCAUUGGGGCCUGCUUCCUUCGCCAUGGGGACCAGUUCAACCUCUAUGCACAGUUUGUGAAGCACAGGCGUAAGCUGGAGAGCGGACUGGCUGCACUCGUUCCCUCAACCAAGGGUUCCAUGGAGGGCAGCCCCUGUUUGCCCCGGGCCCUGCAGCAGCCCCUGGAGCAGCUGGCUCGGUAUAGACAGCUGCUGGAGGAGCUCCUGAGGGAAGCUGGGCCCGAGCUAAGCUCCGAACGCCAGGCCCUCAGGACUGCUAUACAGUUGCUCCAGGAACAAGAGGCCCGAGGCAGAGAUCUGCUCGCUGUGGAAGCCGUGCGAGGCUGUGAGAUAGAUCUGAAGGAACAGGGGCAGCUCUUGCAUCGGGACCCAUUCACUGUCAUCUGUGGCCGGAAAAAGUGUCUCCGCCAUGUCUUCCUCUUUGAGGAUCUGCUCUUGUUCAGCAAGUUCAAGGGCUCUGAGGGAGGAUCUGAGACCUUUGUUUAUAAGCAGGCCUUCAAGACCGCUGACAUGGGCCUGACAGAAAACAUUGGGGACAGCGGACUCUGCUUUGAACUAUGGUUUCGGCGACGGCGCACACGAGAAGCAUACACAUUGCAGGCUAGCUCACCAGAGACCAAAGUCAAGUGGACAAGUUCUAUUGCCCAGCUGCUGUGGAGACAGGCAGCCCACAACAAGGAGCUCCGAGUACAGCAGAUGGUUUCCAUGGGCAUCGGGAACAAACCUUUCCUGGACAUCAAAGCCCUUGGCGAGCGGACGCUGAGUGCCCUGCUCACUGGAAGAGCCGCCCGCACCCGGGCCUCCGUAGCCGUGUCAUCCUUUGAGCAUGCUGGCCCGUCCCUUCCCGGCCUCUCACCGGGAGCCUGCUCCCUGCCUGCCCGCGUCGAGGAGGAGGCCUGGGAUCUGGACGUCAAGCAGAUUUCCCUGGCCUCAGAAACACUUGACUCUUCUGGAGAUGUGUCCCCAGGACCAAGAAACAGCCCCAGCCUGCAGCCCCCCCACCCCGGGAGCAGCACUCCCACUCUGGCCAGUGGAGGGAUCUUAGGGCUUUCCCGGCAGGCCUGGCUGAGAGGCAAUCAAGGUCAGAGGUCAAAAUCUUGAGAAGCGGGGAGACACAUACACUAGAGACUAUGUCUAAACACACUGCAAUUUCUGUGUCCUCAGAGUCAUUCCCGAGCCCUGAGUGACCCCACCACGCCUCUGUGACCUAGAGAAGACCCAGAACUUGGCCACAGCCCCUCCUCAGCACGUUUUAGACUGGGAUGCCAAGGGGACAUAAUGAAGGACUGAAGCUCUCAAAGACCCCCCUCCCCCCAGCUUCCUGGACAGAGGGCAAGGACCAGAGCUUCCCCUGCCAUAGCUAUCUCUAGCUCUCCCCUGCUUGGUGCCUUCUGCUGCAGGAACCACAGUGGUGCUGUUUGCUUGCCCUUAUGCCCGGGGGACAGGGAAGAGCCCUCUUCCAGCUUUUCCCCAGCCUGUGCUAAUGCACACCCCCAGGACGCUGCUCUGCCGACAGCCCGCUUCUCUCCUCCCGACUCUCCCAGAAGAUUCAUCUCUGCCAGGUCGAAUUGAAUUCCAUUCUGGGGUGUCAUGGGAAAUGAAGUGUUGCAAGCCACUGGAGGAGAUGGGGUGGGCACUGCAGACUUUAUAUAUGUAAUUACUGUUACUGUACUAUUGUUAUAUUAAAUGUAUUUA